GCUCCAGUGAGGGAAUUAAGGACUGCAAGUUGUACUUGUAACGGGGAUCCAGCUGGCUGGCCACCCAGUAAUCAGCACAAGUUAAAAUGUGGGCAACUCGGCAGUCGUUGCGCAGGCACUUUGGUGAUUCUAGAUAACCUCGGGCUGAUUGCACGUCCCCGUGACGGGUAUGACGCAUUCGGAUGUCUGCCCUAUCAACUUUCGAUGGUUCUUUCUGCGCCUACCAUGGUGAUCAUGGGUAACAAGGAGUCAGGGUUCGAUUCCGGAG